rnacentral:rRNA from 1 species
AACAAACGCUGGCGGGGUGCCUAAUACAUGCAAGUCGAAAGGGGAAAGCUUUCGGGUGAGUACUAGUGGCGCACGGGUGAGGAACGCGUGGAUAAUCUGCCUUAGAGUGGGGGAUAACUAGUCGAAAGAUUAGCUAAUACCGCAUAAGACCACAGGAGCUGCGGCUCUAGGGGUCAAAGGUUUUUCGCUCUAAGAUGAGUACGCGUAAGAUUAGCUAGUUGGUGAGGUAACGGCUCACCAAGGCGACGAUCUUUAACUGGUCUGAGAGGAUGAUCAGUCACACUGGGACUGAGACACGGUCCAGACUCCUACGGAAGGCAGCAGUAGGGAAUAUUGCACAAUGGAGGAAACUCUGAUGCAGCGACGCCGCGUGAGUGAUGAAGGCCUUCGGGUCGUAAAGCUCUGUCGCAGGGGAAUAACACAAUGAAUGUACCCUGUAAGAAAGGAUCGGCUAACUUCGUGCCAGCCGCCGCCGUAACAC